UCCCGCUUAUCACGGGCAGUUCCCCCAAAGUGCCCAGCUUGACCUGCUGGCAACCGAGGGUGUGGGUUGCGCUCGUUGCCGGACUUAACCGAACAUCUCACGACACGAGCUGACGACAGCCAUGCAGCACCUGUCCACCUGUCCCUUGCGGGAAAACCGGCUCUCACCGGCGGUCAGGGGAUGUCAAGAGUAGGUAAGGUUCUUCGCGUUGCGUCGAAUUAAACCGCAUGUUCCACCGCUUGUGCGGGCCCCCGUCAAUUCCUUUGAGUUUCACCCUUGCGGGCGUACUCCCCAGGUGGAUUACUUAACGCUUUCGCUAAGACGCUGACAGUUUAUCGCCAACAUCGAGUAAUCAUCGUUUACAGCGUGGACUAC
rnacentral:misc_RNA from 1 species